AACGUAGGACGCGAGCGUUAUCCGGAUUUACUGGGCGUAAAGCGCGUGCAGGCGGUCUGUUAAGUCGUGCGUGAAAGCUCCCUGGCUCAACCGGGAGAGGUCGUACGAAACUAGCAGGCUUGAGGGCAGCAGAGGAGUGUGGAAUUCCGGGUGUAGUGGUGAAAUGCGUAGAUAUCCGGAGGAACACCAGUGGCGAAGGCGACACUCUGGGCUGUACCUGACGCUAAGACGCGAAAGCAUGGGUAGCGAACGGG
rnacentral:rRNA from 1 species